GCCCGGUUAGCUCAUUCGGUAGAGCAUGAGACUCUUAAUCUCAGGGUUGUGGGUUCGAGCCCAACGCUUGGUG
rfam:Danio rerio chromosome 4, GRCz11 reference primary assembly.